rnacentral:rRNA from 1 species
GACGGAGGGGGCAAGCGUUGUCCGGAAUCACUGGGCGUAAAGGGCGCGUAGGUGGCUGCGUGCGUCGGUGCUGAAAGCGCCGGGCUUAACCCGGCGAGGCGUGCCGAUACGACGCGGCUUGAGGCAGGGAGAGGGUAGCGGAAUUCCGGGUGUAGUGGUGAAAUGCGUAGAGAUCCGGAGGAACGCCAGAGACGAAGGUGGCUACCUGGCCCUGACCUGACACUGAGGCGCGAAAGCUAGGGGAGCAAACGGG